UACGAAGGAGGCUAGCGUUGCUCGGAAUCACUGGGCGUAAAGCGCACGUAGGCGGACUCUUAAGUCGGUGGUGAAAAUCCUGGAGCUCAACUCCAGAACUGCCUUCGAUACUGGGAGUCUCGAGUCCGGGAGAGGUGAGUGGAACUGCGAGUGUAGAGGUGAAAAUUCGUAGAUAUUGGCUGGAAACACCGGUGGCGAAAGCGGCUCUCUGGCCCGGUUCUGACGCUGAGGGCGGCGAAAAAGCGUGGGGGAGCAAAACA
rnacentral:rRNA from 1 species